GAUUAACGCUGGCGGCGUGCCUAACACAUGCAAGUCGAGCGGCAGCGAGUUUUACACUGUAUUCUGGAAGCUUCUAGUUGAAAGAGAAGAUUUAUUCAAGAAUUUUGUGUAAAAUGUCGGCGAGCGGCGGACGGCUGAGUAACGCGUGGGAACGUACCCCAAAGUGAGGGAUAACGCAUCGAAAGGUGUGCUAAUACCGCAUAUGGUCUUCGGAUUAAAGCCUUCGGGCGCUUUGGGAACGGCCUGCGUAAGAUUAGAUAGUUGGUGGGGUAAUGGCCUACCAAGUCGACGAUCUUUAACUGGUUUGAGAGGAUGAUCAGUCAGACUGGAACUGAGACACGGUCCAGACUCCUACGGGAGGCAGCAGUGAGGAAUCUUCCACAAUGGGCGAAAGCCUGAUGGAGCAACGCCGCGUGCAGGAUGAAGGCCUUCGGGUUGUAAACUGCUUUUAUAAGUGAGGAUUAUGACAGUAACUUAGGAAUAAGGAUCGGCUAACUACGU
rnacentral:rRNA from 1 species